GGGAGAAAAAGGGCUCAGGACUGAGGAGUGAAGAGCUCCAGGGAUUUCACUCUUCUUUGUGUGUGUGAAGGAAGGUUUAUUUGCAAGAUGGGUUUGAGGGAAUUAAGGAUAAAGUCUGCUGAAAGUAGCACCAGCCUCUGGAUUAAAAGGGAUGUUUGGAUGAAGCUUCAAUCUCAAGAAGAGGCAAGAGAAAACUAAAGAAAAAGAAGGCAGCAACUGCUUUCGGGAGCAGCUGAAGGCUGGAGAUAACAUGGACCUCCAUGAUGAGAGCUGGAAUGAAGUACCAGGGCAAGGGAGCUGCCUGGAUGAGGAAACCAAGGCUAUCUCAGUACUGCCAAGGUGUUUUCAUCAUUCAUCAAAAUGCAAAAGUAAACACUGGUGAGAAAAACGAUGUUGAUCUCCCAGGCAAGCCACUUUCCAGGAGUGUGGCUGAUUAUUUUCAAAUGCUGCAUCGGAAAGUUGCAGGCCCCUUGGAAAAUCUGUCACCCCUGAGAGUGAUAUUAUUCUACAGAAACAACACAUCACUGGAUGCCUCUCACCAUGCAAUCCUCUGUGCACUUGAGAAGAAGACAAGACUCUCCUAUUUUUAGAUGGGAAAGCUGAGGCAAAACGGAUGCACUUGGGCAAAAUCAUUUGAUAAAAAUGGAAGCUGAACCUCCAAGUCCUGGCAUCGGUAGCUGCCUCAUGUUCCUCCCGCCUCACUCCACCUCAGUGUACCCGCGACUGGAGGGUGCCACAGGCUGGAGCACACAAAACACUGUGUGCUUCGUGAUUCUGAUGUGGGGCGCCAGAUCCGGUGGAAGGAGGGUGGCUGCGUGGGAACAGAUGCUCGUGUCACAAGGAGUUGUCUCUUGUGGGCAAAGCAAGCUGGAAAGUGUUUCGAUUUCUUUAUUUUCAUGCUCUACUCUUGGUGCUUCCUUCUCCUUUGCCCACCAAUCCCCCCAAUGCCAGGCUUCUCCUUACCUGGGUGCAGAGAGAGGAACAACUUGGAGGUGGGCAGAGAGGGACUCAGUUCAUGGUGCUUGGAGGUGGGAGAGCUCCCAGGCAAAAUAGAGAGGAGACUGUGGAGAUGCCGUGGGCAGGUGUGGAGGAGAGGGAGAGCUUGAACGGUGAAAAACAAGAGAUGGAGAGUCUGGGAGAAGGGUGAGCAGCCAGAAUGGGGAUUUCCACAGUAGCUUCUGAUGAGCUAUGUCUGGUCAGAACUAUAACCUUAGCUUCCUUUAUUUCCCUGGAGGGGUGGGGAGAUAGGAAGGAGAGGAGUAUACUAGUCUCUUCCAAAGGGAGGGCCAGAGCAAAAGCGUCCUGUGAUUAAUUACUCACCACAAAAACCCUCUUCAAGGCUGGAGACCUAGGAGGGGCUUGGCACACAGACAACUCCUCUGCAGCUGUUCAGAGAAAAACAGCUCUUCCCAUCUCAAGCCGCCCACCUGCCCAGUGUGCUGUCUGUCCCACUGGUCACACACUUUCCCUAGAGUGCUUCUUGCUUCUCUCACAGCAAUUCCCACCUCCGCAUGCUGGACCAGGCGGCCCCCUCUAGAUCCCAUGGUGAAGCAUCAGGUGCCCACAGGUCUAAGAUGUCUUCAUUUGUUCAAUGGCUAGAGCAGGCAGCUGGCUGUCCAGAUGCAUGAAUGAAUUCCCUAACUCUCACAUGUCUGCAGGAAACUGCUGUAGGAAGCCUGCACCAGUGGAUUGCCAUUCGGGCAGAUCCUCUCAACUUUGAGAGCUUAAGGCUUGCUUUUGAGUAUGUGAUUAUGAUCCUGCCUGUGUGUAUGUAUGUCAGAAUCAUAGAACUCUAGAGGUCAUGUUUUAAUUAAUUUAUUCAUUCAUUGAUUCAUUAACAAAUGCUUAUUGAGUACCUACUAUGUGUCAGGCUGUGAUCUGGAUACUGAGGCACAGAUCAGUGAGCAAAACAGACCAAAAGCUCUGUCAUCAUGAAGCUUAUAUUCUAGAGAGAAGAGAUAUACUAUCAUCAAAUUAAGUCAGUUAUGUAGCAUAUUAGAAAGUGAUAAGUCCAGUGGGGUAAAAUAAAGGAGGAUGAUGGGGAAUGUGAGGGGCGGCAUGCAAUUUUAAAUAGAAUGUUUGAGGAAGGCUUUCAUGGGAAAGUGAUAUUUGGUGCAAAACGUGAAGGCGGUAAAGAGGUGAAUUAUGUGGCUAUGUCGGGGAUGGACAUUACAGGCAGAAGAAUUAGUUAGUCGGGGCUCUGAGCAGGGAGCAGGUCUGGCAUGUUCCCAUCCCAGCAAGUAGGCCAGUGUGGCUCUGGUGGAGUAAGCAAGGAUGGAAUUGCAGCAGGUGAGUCCAGAAGAGUGAUAAUGGACAGCCAGUUGGGGGUGCCUUCCAGGUGAUUGUGGGAACUAGGCUUUAUUCUGAGUGUGAUGGGUAGCCACUUGGGGCUUUCAGGACAGGAUGGUAAAAAAAGGAUCAUGCUGCCUGCUGUGUUGGGAACAGACUGUAUGGGACCAGGUGAAAGCAAAGCAGUCAGCCUCAAAUAAUUCAGGUGAGGGAAAACGUGACUUGAAUAAGAUUCACUGUAGAAGUGGUGAGAUAUAAGUGGAUUCUGGAUAUAAUAAAAAUAUAGAGCCAGCAGGAUUUUCUGAUGGAUUAGCUAAGGAGUGUAAAGAAAUAGAGGAGUCAGAGUGACUUUUUUUUUCCUUGAGCAACAGGAAGUGGAGAGGUAUCAUUACCUGAAAGGAGGAAAGCCUCAGGUAGAGAAAGUUUUAGAGGAGGUAAGAUCAGAGGUUUAGUGCAAGACAUGCUAAGUUUGAGAUGUCUAUUAGAUACCCAAGUGGAUCUGUCUAAUGGGUAUUUAGACAGAUCCACUUGGAUAUCUGUCUCAAUGGACAUGUGAUCUACAUGUAGUUCACAGGAUAAGUCCAGUUUAGAGUACCAAUUUGAAGUCAUCAAAUGUAGGUGGCAUUUAAAGUGGUAAAACUGGACUGAGCACAGUGGCUUAUGCCUGUAACCCCUGCAUUUUGGGAGGCUGAGGUGGGUGGAUAACUUGAGGUCAGGAGUUCGAGACCAGCUUGGCCAACAUGGUGAAACCCUAUCUCUACUAAAAAUACAAAAAAUUAGCCAGGCAUGGUGGCACAUGCCUAUAAUCUGAGCCUCUCGGGAGGCUGAGGCAGGAGAAUUGCUUGAAUCCAGGAGGCAGAGGUUGCAGUGAGCCAAGAUCGUGCGACUGCACUCCAGCCUGGGUGACAGAGUGAGACUCCAUCUCAAAAAAAUAAAUAAAUAAAUAAAUAAAUAAAACAAAAAUAAAAAAUAAAGUGAUAAAACUGGAGAUCACUAUGAGAAUGAGGAUAGCUAGAGAAAAGAAGGGGUCCAGAAGGUUAUCCUUGCUGUGCUCCAAGGUGCUUGAGUUUGGAAACAUGAGACAAAACCAGAAACAGAGACCCUGGGAGAGUCUGUGGUCUCCAUUUUUCCGCUGAGCAAACCACAGGCUUGUGUUCUGCCUAUCUCCCACUUCGCACAUGUACAGCAUUGUAGAAUAUUUACAUGGAAAAGGAUUCUAUGAUAUAGUAGAGUGACUUCCCCUAUUGAUAACAAACAAUUAUGUCAGUCCCUACACAACUCUUAUGCUAAAGGUAAUGGGGAGGGUUGAAUGGUACUCAUUUGGGCAGCUUUUUUUUGGCUAUGUAUACUUUCAGAAAGAAUUUACCUCACCUAGAUCACAUGACUAAAAUAUAGGAAUAUUAAUACCCACUGUGUCUAAUUGGCAGAUUGUUUUGAGAUUUUAAAUGAGAUCUAUUCAUGAAAACAUUUUGUUAAUCUUAAAGCACCACACCAAUAUCACCUAUUAUAUUGUACAGCCAUGAUCAACACAAUUUCCAAUCUAGAAGUCCCUCUCAACUUUUCCUGGGACUGAGCUUUCAGGACUUAGAGUUCCUUCUCCUUCUCAUUCUUUUUCUGCGCAUAGUCUCCCGGUAAAGUGAAAACCAGCUGAGAAAAGAUUCGGGCUGGACAGGCCUCCGUGGCGAUUAAGAGUCACGAAUGUGAUGAUAUUAUUCGCAAACAGCAGUGUAGUCAUGGUUCAGAAUUUUGGAAACAGUGCCAGGAGGAUCUUGGACAUAAUUUUCAGGGUGUAUAAGCCCUGCACUAAAGUAAAGUUUACCAGUGCCAAGAGUUUGACGUUUUCUUCUUCAUGUUUUCUUUGGCUGGAGCCUGGCUUUAGUUGAAGAGUUCUGUCAACAAAUGGAAUUCUCUAUUUGGGACUGGGAUUCUUGAUUGGUGGUGCUUCUGUCUCCUCUUGCUGUGAGUUUCCUCAAACUUAGAGUCCUGUGGGAUCUGUGUUUGAACAGAGACUGGAAAUGCUUACCUCAUCUCCACAUUUCUUAGCCAUUUGUCACCAGACUGUAGAUUGACUGGUGGGAUGCCUGUUUCUAGAGAGAAAAGAUACUGCUUUUCUCUGACUCCAGCUGAGAAGAGGUUGGUUAAAUUACGAAUCUGAUGACUAUCUAUGAACCUAAGGAGGAAAAGUUAAUUUCUUUUGAGGGUUUGCAUAAUGUUUUAAAACAAAUUUAUAGAAAUAUAGAUGAUGGAAAAAAGCAAUAGGGUAAACCUAAAUUAUUAAAAAUAAAUAAUACAUAGGAAAUAAACAGCAUAGAAAAGAAACAAAAAAGAGAUUGUUACCAAAAACCAUAAGUUUUUUUUUUUUUGAAAAUUCUAAGAAGGUGGAUAAAUUUCUGGAAUUUUCAAUGAGCAAAAAAGUGAAAAGAUACAAAUGAAUAAAAAAUGAAAAGGUAGAAAUUAAAAUAGGUCUAGUAGAGAUUAAAAAUAAUAAAAGAAUAUUAUUAAAAAGUAUUGGUGGAUAAAAUAGGCACAUAUCUGAAGAUAAAAGCCGAAUUGACCCCCUAAAAAGCAGAAAACUUACAAUAACAAUCAUUAAUGGCUUUGAAUGGCUAUGAAAAAAUAAUAUCUCUGCCCUCUUCACUACUCCCAUGUAAAAUAAUUUUACGGGUAGAUUUUACCAACGUUUCAAGAGAGACAUGAUUCCCAAAUAUUAUGUAAGUUUUUUCAGAAAAAAAAAAAAAAAAAAAA
rnacentral:lncRNA from 1 species